GUAGUCAUAUGCUUGUCUCAAAGAUUAAGCCAUGCAUGUCUAAGUAUAAGCAAUUAUACCGCGAAACUGCGAAUGGCUCAUUAUAUAAGUUAUCGUUUAUUUGAUAGUACCUUACUACUUGGAUAACCGUGGUAAUUCUAGAGCUAAUACAUGCUAAAAAUCCCGACUUCGGAAGGGAUGUAUUUAUUAGAUUAAAAACCAAUGCCCUUCGGGGCUCACUGGUGAUUCAUGGUAACUCCUCGAAUCGCAUGGCCUUGUGCCGGCGAUGGUUCAUUCAAAUUUCUUCCCUAUCAACUUUCGAUGUUUGGGUAUUGGCCAAACAUGGUUGCAACGGGUAACGGAGGGUUAGGGCUCGACCCCGGAGAAGGAGCCUGAGAAACGGCUACUACAUCCAAGGAAGGCAGCAGGCGCGCAAAUUACCCAAUCCCGACACGGGGAGGUAGUGACAAUAAAUACUGAUACAGGGCUCUUUUGGGUCUUGUAAUUGGAAUGAGUACAAUUUAAAUCCCUUA
rnacentral:rRNA from 1 species